rnacentral:rRNA from 1 species
UACAGAGGUCUCAAGCGUUGUUCGGAUUCAUUGGGCGUAAAGGGUGCGUAGGCGGCGCGGUAAGUCGGGUGUGAAAUCUCGGAGCUUAACUCCGAAACUGCAUUCGAUACUGCCGUGCUUGAGGACUGGAGAGGAGACUGGAAUUUACGGUGUAGCGGUGAAAUGCGUAGAUAUCGUAAGGAACGCCAGUGGCGAAAGCGAGUCUCUGGGCAGCAUCUGACACUGAGGCACGAAGGCCAGGGGAGCAAACGGG